rnacentral:tRNA from 2 species
CGCCAUAGCUCAGUUGGUAGUAGCGCAUGACUGUUAAUCAUGAUGUCGUAGGUUCGAGUCCUACUGGCGGA